rnacentral:lncRNA from 1 species
CUUGGUCCAACUUUUCUUACUUUGGCAUGUCCUUUUAGUCUUGUGGUGGUCACAACAAGUCUCCUUUUCUGUUUUGUUGUAGCUUUCGUUAGGCUCAUACGCAUUCUUAAGAAGAAAAAUAUAGGCUUGUAGCUUAACUUCACUUAUGUAUUUACCUUUGCUCCACUUAAGCUAUUCAUAACAGAGCAUAUUCAAAUGUUAAUCCAUGUUGGAUGUGGUAAUGGUCUUCUAACUGCUCUUAAAGAAGGAAGCUGGUGGC